UACGGAGGAUCCAAGCGUUAUCCGGAUUUAUUGGGUUUAAAGGGUGCGCAGGCGGAAGAUUAAGUCGGCGGUGAAAUUUUGCAGCUCAACUGUAAAAGUGCCAUCGAUACUGGUUUUCUUGAGUGUGGAUGAAGUAGGCGGAAUUUGUGGUGUAGCGGUGAAAUGCAUAGAUAUCACGAGGAACUCCGAUUGCGCAGGCAGCUUACUAAGCCAUAACUGACGCUCAGGCACGAAGGCGUGGGGAUCAAACAGGAUUAGA
rnacentral:rRNA from 1 species